rnacentral:rRNA from 1 species
UUAGAGUUUGAUCCUGGCUCAGGACGAACGCUGGCGGCGUGCCUAAUACAUGCAAGUCGAACGCGUCCCGGUUGAUGAAGUUGAGUGCUUGCACUUGAUUGAUUCAACUUGGUGACGAGUGGCGAACUGGUGAGUAACACGUGGGUAACCUGCCCCGAAGCGGGGGAUAACAUUUGGAAACAGGUGCUAAUACCGCAUAACAACCAAAACCACCUGGUUUUGGUUUGAAAGACGGCUUCGGCUGUCACUUUGGGAUGGACCCGCGGCGUAUUAGCUAGUUGGUGAGGUAACGGCUCACCAAGGCGAUGAUACGUAGCCGACCUGAGAGGGUAAUCGGCCACAUUGGGACUGAGACACGGCCCAAACUCCUACGGGAGGCAGCAGUAGGGAAUCUUCCACAAUGGACGCAAAUCUGAUGGAGCAACGCCGCGUGAGUGAUGAAGGGUUUCGGCUCGUAAAACUCUGUUGUUGGAGAAGAACGGGUGUUAGAGUAACUGUUGACAUCGUGACGGUAUCCAACCAGAAAGCCACGGCUAACUACGUGCCAGCAGCCGCGGUAAUACGUAGGUGGCAAGCGUUGUCCGGAUUUAUUGGGCGUAAAGCGAGCGCAGGCGGUUUUUUAGGUCUGAUGUGAAAGCCUUCGGCUUAACCGGAGAAGUGCAUCGGAAACCGGGAAACUUGAGUGCAGAAGAGGACAGUGGAACUCCAUGUGUAGCGGUGAAAUGCGUAGAUAUAUGGAAGAACACCAGUGGCGAAGGCGGCUGUCUGGUCUGCAACUGACGCUGAGGCUCGAAAGCAUGGGUAGCGAACAGGAUUAGAUACCCUGGUAGUCCAUGCCGUAAACGAUGAGUGCUAAGUGUUGGAGGGUUUCCGCCCUUCAGUGCUGCAGCUAACGCAUUAAGCACUCCGCCUGGGGAGUACGACCGCAAGGUUGAAACUCAAAGGAAUUGACGGGGGCCCGCACAAGCGGUGGAGCAUGUGGUUUAAUUCGAUGCUACGCGAAGAACCUUACCAGGUCUUGACAUCUUCUGCCA